CUUCUUUCUUCCAGAAAGGAAACCAGGUUGAACUUUUUUGGUGCUGAAGCGUUUUUUCUCUUAACAUGGCACGGUUUCCACAAUGAUUAUAAAAUACACAGCAUGCUACACUAAGUACAGCACAAUUUUGAAGAAUGGCCAAGAUCUCAUGUCUCUUUCCAGCCACACGCGAAACCAAACCAAUAUACCAGAGGCCAUAAAAAAGAAUGUGGAAAACAAUAAGAAACACAAUGGAUAAGAUAUAUAUUGUCAAAAACAAAGAUAGAUUCAUCCUCAUAUCCACCCCCAUUGACUGAAAACUAGGAAGAUGGUACACUGCAGCCACUAAAAUCCAGGCUAUGUAC
rnacentral:lncRNA from 1 species